CUCUCUCUCUCUCUCUCUAAACACCAAACCAAACCCACCCUUUCCCAAUUACUCUUGUCAUUUUUUAAAAGCCACACGAGGCUCUCUCUCUCUCUCUCUCUCUCUCUCUCUCUCUCUCUCUCUCUCUCUAAACACCAAACCAAACCCACCCUUUCCCAAUUACUCUUGUCAUUUUUUAAAAGCCACACGAAUAAAGACAUAAGAUCAAGUUUUAGUGGUGUGUUAAUGUAGCAAGCUUGGUUAAUCUCAAGGGUUCAAGAUCUAUUGGUUUUUCUUCAUCCACCUUUUCUUUUUGGGCACGAGUAGGUCGGUUCACGUAGACGCGGACUUUGCUAUUUCCUAUUUGCUAUUUGCUUGUCAUUUGUUGUAUUUGGAGCUUACGCUUGUUGACCAGGUAACAGGAUGGAUCUUGGACGCAUGUGUCGUAACUAGAAGUUUAGAUGUCAUCCACUUUU